rnacentral:rRNA from 1 species
GGUCAAGUGAAGAAGCGCAUACGGUGGAUGCCUUGGCAGUCAGAGGCGAUGAAAGACGUGGUAGCCUGCGAAAAGCUUUGGGGAGUCGGCAAACAGACUGUGAUCCAGAGAUCUCUGAAUGGGGGAACCCACCCGGCACAAGCCGGGUAUCUUGUACUGAAUCCAUAGGUGCAAGAGGCGAACCAGGGGAACUGAAACAUCUAAGUACCCUGAGGAAAAGAAAUCAACCGAGAUUCCCUAAGUAGUGGCGAGCGAACGGGGACUAGCCCUUAAGUUGAUUUGAGUGUAGUGGAAGGCUCUGGAAAGUGCCGCCGUAGUGGGUGAUAGCCCCGUACACGAAACGCUCUUAUCAAUGAAAUCGAGUAGGACGGGGCACGAGAAACCUUGUCUGAACAUGGGGGGACCAUCCUCCAAGGCUAAAUACUACUGACUGACCGAUAGUGAACCAGUACCGUGAGGGAAAGGCGAAAAGAACCCCGGAGAGGGGAGUGAAAUAGAUCCUGAAACCGUAUGCGUACAAGCAGUGGGAGCCUACUUUGUUGGGUGACUGCGUACCUUUUGUAUAAUGGGUCAGCGACUUAUAUUCAGUGGCGAGCUUAACCGAAUAGGGGAGGCGUAGCGAAAGCGAGUCUUAAUAGGGCGCUUUAGUCGCUGGGUAUAGACCCGAAACCGGGCGAUCUAUCCAUGGGCAGGUUGAAGGUUAGGUAACACUGACUGGAGGACCGAACCGACUACCGUUGAAAAGUUAGCGGAUGACCUGUGGAUCGGAGUGAAAGGCUAAUCAAGCUCGGAGAUAGCUGGUUCUCCUCGAAAGCUAUUUAGGUAGCGCCUCGUGUAUCACUGCUGGGGGUAGAGCACUGUUUCGGCUAGGGGGUCAUCCCGACUUACCAAACCGAUGCAAACUCCGAAUACCAGCAAGUGUCAGCACGGGAGACACACGGCGGGUGCUAACGUCCGUCGUGAAAAGGGAAACAACCCAGACCGUCAGCUAAGGUCCCAAAGUUAUGGUUAAGUGGGAAACGAUGUGGGAAGGCUUAGACAGCUAGGAGGUUGGCUUAGAAGCAGCCAUCCUUUAAAGAAAGCGUAAUAGCUCACUAGUCGAGUCGGCCUGCGCGGAAGAUGUAACGGGGCUCAAACCAUACACCGAAGCUACGGGUUCAUCCUUUGGAUGAGCGGUAGAGGAGCGUUCUGUAAGCCUGUGAAGGUGAGUUGAGAAGCUUGCUGGAGGUAUCAGAAGUGCGAAUGCUGACAUGAGUAACGACAAUGCGAGUGAAAAACUCGCACGCCGAAAGACCAAGGUUUCCUGCGCAACGUUAAUCGACGCAGGGUUAGUCGG